rnacentral:tRNA from 1 species
AAAAAGAUAAGCUAAUUUAAGCUAACAGGUUCAUACCCUCUUUAUGGAAGUAUCUUAAUCUUCCUCUUUUUA